rnacentral:tRNA from 1 species
GCGGACGUAGUUUAAUGGCAGAGCUCCAGCUUCCCAAGCUGGUCACGCGGGUUCGAUUCCCGUCGUCCGCUCCA